rnacentral:rRNA from 1 species
UACGGGAGGCAGCAGUAAGGAAUAUUGCGCAAUGGGCGACAGCCUGACGCAGCGACGCCGCGUGGGGGAUGAAGGUCUUCGGAUUGUAAACCCCUUUCGGCAGGGAAGAUGGAACGGGAAACCGUUCGGACGGUACCUGCAGAAGCAGCCACGGCUAACUUCGUGCCAGCAGCCGCGGUAAUACGAAGGUGGCAAGCGUUGUUCGGAUUUACUGGGCGUACAGGGAGCGUAGGCGGUUGGGUAAGCCCUCCGUGAAAUCUCCGGGCCUAACCCGGAAAGUGCGGAGGGGACUGCUCGGCUAGAGGAUGGGAGAGGAGCGCGGAAUUCCCGGUGUAGCGGUGAAAUGCGUAGAGAUCGGGAGGAAGGCCGGUGGCGAAGGCGGCGCUCUGGAACAUUUCUGACGGUGAGGCUCGAAAGCGUGGGGAGCAAACAGGAUUAGAUACCCUGGUAGUCCACGCCUUAAACGAUGGAUACUAAGUGUCGGCGGGUUACCGCCGGUGCCGCAGCUAACGCAGUAAGUAUCCCGCCUGGAG